rnacentral:rRNA from 1 species
CCUUCAUGAAGUCGGAAUUGCUAGUAAUGGCAGGUCAGCAUACUGCCGUGAAUACGUUCCCGGGCCUUGUACACACCGCCCGUCACACCAUGAGAGUUGGAGAUACCCGAAGCCUAUGAGCUAACUUUUAGAGGCAGUAGUCGAAGGUAGAAUCAAUGAUUGGGGUGAAGUCGUAACAAGGUAGC